GAAAAGAGGGUGAAGGAAAAGAGUGAGAUGAAAUAACAGGGACAAAUGUCGGUGAGAGGGUGGAAGGGAGAGACGUGCUGUUGGAGAGAGGUGUGUACUCGGUCGGGAACGUGCAGUAUACCUUUAACACUGUUCAUCCUCCCGGAUCCUAGUCAGUCGAGAACCGGCGACAAUACAGUGAACAUCGGGUCCAUUGCUCCAGUUUCUCUGUCCGACUUCAAGGAACCGACUUUCGGGAAUAUAUUCUCAGUCACGUGCUCGAGUCCAGGCAAUUUCGAUCGAUCGUCAUGCCGGCCGAACAGUACCUUGGAAAACGGUACAAGCUGUUCAGCAGCGAGAAUUUCGACGAAUUCAUGAAGGCACUCGGCGUAGGUUUAAUGACGCGUAAAAUGGGCAGCAGCGUAAGUCCUGUGGUCGAAUUGACGGAGAACAGUGGACUUUACACGUUGAAGACGACUAGCCCAUUCAAGAACUCCGAAAUAAAGUUCAAACUUGGCGAAGAGUUCGACGAAGAAACGCCAGACGGUAGGAAGGUGAAGAGCGUCUGCACUCUUGAUGGAAAUAAACUCAUUCAGAUACAAAAAGGAGACAAACAGACUACGAUCGAAAGAGAAUUCACGCCGACCGAAAUGAAGGCGGUACGUAUGAAAAACAAAGUUGAUGAAUUUAACUGUGCCAGGUUUAUCAUCAACCUUUGUACCUCGAAUUAGAAGUUUAGCGGUUCAAUUGAGUUACGUUUCAUGUAAUGAAACUUCUGUAGGGUUGAACGACAUAACGAAAGAUAACGGAGCAAGCGAGUAAUGAUAAUAACAAUGACUUUGUCAUUGGUCAAAAGGUCCGCCAAUUACUGCGUGCUACUCAUAUUCGUGACUCGAACAAUUUAAUAAGAAGUUCAAUAAUGGGGAUAGCAAUAAUCGUUUCGAAACCUUGAGCGGAAAUUGAAGAAAAAAUCGCACGCGUCGACUUAGCCAAUCAUCAAAUUUACAAACUCAAAGUUUCAAAUUUAAAGCUUUAGAAAUUUGAGAAUUUAAAAAUAAUUUGCAAAUUUAGAUCUCACAAAAUUGAAGGCAAGUGAUCAUGAAAGUUGACGAUAUUGUAUGCACGAGAGUAUACAAAGUUCAGGAAUAAAAAGAUGACUUACGAAGUGUUGAAAGUUGUUCUCAAGAAAAAAGUUACAUUCUGAAAAUGUAAAGAAAAAAAAAAGGAAAAUAUGUUAACGCACAAUAAUACGCAGAAACGUAUAAACGUUGCUAAUAUUAUUUUCGAGAGGAAUGCACACAAUAUUUUACUACGCGUACCCACGCGUAUACGUCAAGAAUUAUUAUACAACGUUUCCGGAAAUUUAUAUAUUUUUUACGCAUCGUUAGAUAUAGUUUAUAUAUUUGCUUUCGUUUAUAUUAUAUCCGUGGUUGGAUAUGUCAAGCGAGUUCGCGAAGGAUGCAAAUAAUUUGGAUCAUCAAAGAGUUUGUAGCAAAAUAUUUUUCUUAUAUAAACGCAAUAAAAAUUACAAAAAUGAA